GACGAAGGAUGCAAGCGUUAUCCGGAUUCAUUGGGUUUAAAGGGAGCGUAGGUGGCCUUAUAAGUCAGUGGUGAAAUCUCGAGGCUUAACCUCGAAAUUGCCAUUGAUACUGUAGGGCUUGAGUACAGUUGCCGUUGGCGGAAUAUGACAUGUAGUGGUGAAAUACAUAGAGAUGUCAUAGAACACCGAUUGCGAAGGCAGCUAACGAAACUGUAACUGACACUGAGGCUCGAAAGUGCGGGGAUCAAACAGG
rnacentral:rRNA from 1 species